rnacentral:rRNA from 1 species
AGAGGCCCCAACCAUUACCCGGAAUCACUGGGCGUAAAGGGUGUCUAGGCGGUCGUGUUAGUCGUUCGUUAAAUCUGCGGGCCUAACCUGCAGUCUGCGAGCGAAACGGCACGACUCGAGGGUGCGAGAGGUGGAGGGAACUCACGGUGGAGGGGUGAAAUCCGUUGAUAUCGUGGGGAACACCAAAGGCGAAGGCACUCUACUGGCGCACUCCUGACGCUCACACACGAAAGCCAGGGGAGAGAACGGGAUUAGAUACCCCGGUAUUCCUGGCCCUCCAACGUUGCUCGCUCGUUCUACGGAGUAUCGACCCUCUGUGGGACUAAGCUAACGCGGUAAGCGAGCCGCCUGGGUAGUACGAUCGCAAAAUUA